rnacentral:pre_miRNA from 14 species
AUGUGGUGAGUGAAAGAUCCCCGAAGAGAGACCCUUACUCAAGUCUCGUGAAGUCGCGGACCCCAGACACAGAGAGACCA